rnacentral:rRNA from 1 species
UGGGGAAUUUUGCACAAUGGGGGAAACCCUGAUGCAGCGACGCCGCGUGAUUUAGAAGGCCUUCGGGUUGUAAAAAUCUUUUUUACGGGAUGAAAAUGAUAGUACCGUAAGAAUAAGGUCCGGCUAAAUACGUGCCAGCAGCCGCGGUAAUACGUAUGGACCGAGCGUUGUCCGGAAUCAUUGGGCGUAAAGGGUACGUAGGCGGCCUAGUAAGUUAGAAGUGAAAUAAUAUAGCUCAACUAUAUAAAGCUUUUAAAACUGCUAGGCUUGAGAGAUGGAAGGGAAAGUGUAAUUCCUAGUGUAGCGGUGAAAUGCGCAGAUAUUAGGAAGAAUACCGGUGGCGAAGGCGACUUUCUGGUCAUCAUCUUACGCUGCGGUACGAAAGCGUGGGUAGCAAACAGG